rnacentral:rRNA from 1 species
UACAGAGGGUGCGAGCGUUGUCCGGAAUCACUGGGCGUAAAGGGCGCGUAGGUGGCGCGACAAGUCAGUGGUGAAAGUUCGACGCUCAACGUCGAAUCGGCCACUGAUACUGUUGGGCUUGAGCACUGUAGAGGCUAAGUGGAAUUCCGGGUGUAGCGGUGGAAUGCGUAGAGAUCCGGAAGAAGACCGGUGGCGAAGGCGGCCUGACUGGGCUAUGGCUGACACUGAGGCGCGGACAGCGUGGGGAGCAAACAGG